AAGGCCCUGUCAGCACUGACUAGCCACACACAGGGAGAGUCACCUAAACGUCCGAUGCCUUAGUUUCUGCCUGUAAAAUGAUAUAAGAGAGUUGAUAGAGCGGUUAAAAAAAUCAGACAAUACCAUACUAGCCUAAGCACAGCGCCUGGCACACAAAGACUCCGCAGUAAAAGGCGGCUCCUAUUAUUGGAACAAUUAGCAUAGAAACUCAACUGCCGCUCCUCCAGGUGGGCCUCAGAGGGGGUCGAACAGGACCAGACCCAGGAGGGCCCCACACCAACUUCCGGAGGGCAGGACUCUGCCUGCCAGUGAGCCCCAGAUCCAGGGACUAAGGCAGCAGGGGUGAAAGCAGGCAGCAGGAAGUACCUCACCUUUCAGGAUGGGGGCCGCCAUGACAGACGGCGGGAUCCGGCCAGCUGGCCUACGCGGUGCUUGCGAGCCUGGCGGCGCGCGCGGGCACUGGGCAUGCGCGGGGUGAGCGCGCCGCCGUCACCGCGCUCCGCUGAAUCCGCGUUUCCGGGAUUUCUCUGUAGUGACUUAGAAGCUACCCGGCGCCUCAUCUGGGCUCACCUGAGCUGAGGAUCAGGAAGGGGAGGGGGCACAGUCAUUCCCUCGCGGACGCGGCGGGACCCCAGCGGACGGCUUUGUGCGGACUUUCGGCACCGUUAUGCCCCCCUAGCCCGACACCACCUGGGGCUGGCGCGCCACGUUACUGUUCAGGGCCAGACGCACCGCCCUGCCUGCUCCGGGGAGCCGGACCUCCGAUCCCGGGGAUGGGGGACCCCGAGACCUCAGACCCAACGGAGGGGACUCUGAUACCUCAGACCCCACGCGGGGACCCCGAGGCUUCAGACCCCCACAGGGUGACCCCGAGAUCUCAGACCCCCGCAGGAGUACCUCCAGACCUCAAAUCCCCAGUAAGGGAAUGAAAGAGACUUCGGAUCCCUGAGGCAGCAAAUCCCUGUAGGGGCAUCCCAGGACUCAGGUCACCGCGGGGUGAACCCAGACCUCACAUUCAGGCAAUCCCCAGGACGCCGAUCGGCUGGCACUACCCACUGUCCCGGCCACCCCCCCUGGAGCUCAAAGGCUUGGCCCUCCAGCUGCUCCACCCUGCCGGCAACCAGGCUCAAACCUGCAGCCCGCGGAUCCCCUGCCCCGGAAGCAACCAGAUUCGCGGGAGGUUACCUGACUGAUCCAAGGCAGUUUCUCACUCCGUUGCCCAGGCUGGAAUGCAGUGGUGUAAUCACAGCUCACUGCAGCCUCAACCUACUGGACUCAAAGGAUAAGAUCUGCUUUUAAUUAAUUUUUGUAUACGGUAUGGGAUAGGGACCAAAGUUCAUUUUUUUGCAUGUAUACAUAUCCAAAUGUUCCAGCAUCAUUUAUUAAAAAGUUAUUUUUGUCUCUACUGCAUUUCCUUUGUGCUUACAUCAAAAUCUGUGUUGCAUAUGUAUGUGUUUCAUUUUAGGCUUCCUAUUGUGUUCCAUUGAGCUAUUUGUCUUUUUGCUGCCAGCACCAUGCUGUUUUGAUUAUUGUAGCUAUAUAAAUAAGUGAUGAAAUCAGAUAGUUUAUGUCCUACAACUUUAUUUUUCAAGGUUAUUUUGUAUCUUCUAGAUUCUUCAGAUUUCCUUUUAAAUCUUAGAGUCGACUUCUCAUUUUGCACAAAAAAAUACUGCUGGGAUUUUGAUUGAGAUUGUGUUGACUCUACAGAUGAAUUUGGGGAGAAUUGACAUUUUAACCAUAUUGAAUCUUCUGACCCAUUAACAUUUAGGUCUUUUAAAAUUUCUCUGGCCAGACGCAGUGGCUCACGCCUGCCACUUUGGGAGGCCAAGGCGGGCCGAUCACAAGGUCAGGAGAUUGAGACCAUCCUGGCUAACACAGUGAAACCCCAUCUCUACUAAAAAUACAAAAAAUUAGCCGGGCGUGGUGGCAUGCGCCUGUAGCCCCAGCUACUUGGAAGGCUGAGGCAGGAGAAUGGCAUGAACCCGGGAGACAGAGCUUGCAGUGAGCAGAGAUCUUGCCACUGCACUCCACCUGGGGCAACAGAGCGAGACUCCAUCUCAAAAAAAAAAAAUAUAACUGUUGUUAGAUUUUAACCUAAGUAUUUGUUUUUUUAUUUUGUUUUUCUUUUUUUCUUCUUUUUUUUUUUUUUUUUUUUUUGAGACAGGAUCUCACUCUGUCUCCCAGGCUGAAGUGCAAUGGUGUGAUCAUGGCUCAUCUUGAAGCCUCGACCCUCCUGGGAUCAAGCUAUCCUCCCACCUCAACCUCCUGAGUAGCUGGGACUACAAGUACACAUGACCAUGCCCAAUUCAUUUUUUAAAUUCUUUGUAGAGGCGGAGUCCCACUAUGUUGCCCAGGCUGGUCUUGAACUCCUGGGCUCAAGCAAUCCUCCCACCUCAGCUUCCCAAAGUGUAGGGAUUACAGGCAUGAGCCACUGUGCAAGGUCUUGUGUUUUUUGAUAAUAUCGUAAAUGGUGAUUUUUUCAUUUGUUUCUGAUUGUUGCUAAUAUAUGGAAAUAUAGUUGAUAUCUGCAAUUGAUCUCAUGUCCUGAAAACUUGCUAAAUCUGCUUAAUAAUUUUUUGUACAUUCAAAAUGAUGUUCUACAGGUAGUCGUAUUGUCUAUGUUGGAAGGAAAGCUUUUCCUCAUUCAAUGUCGGUCCUGUGUUUGAAGACCUGCAAAUUAACUGAUAACAACAGGUUAACAGGAGAAAAGACAAGGUUUAGAGUAACUCACUAAAUAGAAAUAAAGGUUUAUAGAUCCACUUAACAAAAUGUGUUGGG
rnacentral:lncRNA from 1 species